rnacentral:rRNA from 1 species
UACGAAGGGGGCUAGCGUUGUUCGGAAUUACUGGGCGUAAAGCGCUCGCAGGCGGAUCGAUAAGUCAGGGGUGAAAUCCCGGGGCUCAACCUCGGAAUUGCCUUUGAUACUGUCAAUCUCGAGUCCGGGAGAGGUGAGUGGAACUGCGAGUGUAGAGGUGAAAUUCGUAGAUAUUCGCAAGAACACCAGUGGCGAAGGCGGCUCACUGGCCCGGUACUGACGCUGAGGUGCGAAAGCGUGGGGAGCAAACAGGG